rnacentral:rRNA from 1 species
UACAGAGGGUGCGAGCGUUAAUCGGAAUUACUGGGCGUAAAGCGUGCGUAGACGGUUACAUAAGUCGGGUGUGAAAGCCCCGGGCUCAACCUGGGAAUUGCAUUCGAGACUGCGUAGCUAGGGUGCGGAAGAGGGAAGCGGAAUCUCCGGUGUAGCGGUGAAAUGCGUAGAUAUCGGAAGGAACACCAGUGGCGAAAGCGGCUUCCUGGUCCAGCACCGACGUUCAGGCACGAAAGCGUGGGGAGCAAACAGG